rnacentral:rRNA from 1 species
CCUACGGGCGACAGCAGUGAGGAAUAUUGGUCAAUGGCCGCAAGCCUGAACCAGCCAAGUCGCGUGAAGGAUGACUGAUCUAUGGUUUGUAAACUUCUUUUAUAGGGGAAUAAAGGUAUCCACGUGUGGAUAUUUGCAUGUACCUUAUGAAUAAGCACCGGCUAACUCCGUGCCAGCAGCCGCGGUAAUACGGAGGAUGUGAGCGUUAUCCGGAUUUAUUGGGUUUAAAGGGUGCGUAGGUUGUUUUUUAAGUCAGCGGUGAAAGUUUGUGGCUCAACCGUAAAAUUGCCGUUGAAACUGGAAGACUUGAGUGUGUUUGAGGUAGGCGGAAUGCGUGGUGUAGCGGUGAAAUGCAUAGAUAUCACGCAGAACUCCGAUUGCGAAGGCAGCUUACUAAGCCAUAACUGACACUGAUGCACGAAAGCGUGGGUAUCAAACAGGAUUAGAUACCCGAGUAGUC